rnacentral:rRNA from 1 species
GACGAACGCUGGCGGCGUGCUUAACACAUGCAAGUCGAACGGAAAGGCCCUGCUUUUGUGGGGUGCUCGAGCGGCGAACGGGUGAGUAACACGUGAGUAACCUGCCCUUGACUUUGGGAUAACUUCAGGAAACUGGGGCUAAUACCGGAUAGGAGCUCCUGCUGCAUGGUGGGGGUUGGAAAGUUUCGGCGGUUGGGGAUGGACUCGCGGCUUAUCAGCUUGUUGGUGGGGUAGUGGCUUACCAAGGCUUUGACGGGUAGCCGGCCUGAGAGGGUGACCGGCCACAUUGGGACUGAGAUACGGCCCAGACUCCUACGGGAGGCAGCAAUGGGGAAUAUUGCACAAUGGGCGGAAGCCUGAUGCAGCAACGCCGCGUGCGGGAUGACGGCCUUCGGGUUGUAAACCGCUUUCGCCUGUGACGAAGCGUGAGUGACGGUAAUGGGUAAAGAAGCACCGGCUAACUACGUG